rnacentral:rRNA from 1 species
UCAAAAACAUCUCUUCUUGUUAGUUUUUGAAGUAUGGCCUGCCCACUGACUGUUAGUUGAAGGGCCGCGGUAUUUUGACCGUGCAAAGGUAGCAUAAUCAUUAGUUCUUUAAUUGUGAUCUGGUAUGAAUGGCUUGACGAGAUACAAGCUGUCUUAGAGGCAUUGAGUUUAUUGAAUUUGGGGUUUGAGUUAAAAUUCUUGAAUGUUUUUAUGGGACGAGAAGACCCUAUAGAGUUUGACAAUUUUCUUAUUUGUUCGUUGUUUGUUGUGUUGUAUUGAGUGGGAAAAUUGUUUUGUUGGGGUGAUGGGAGGAAUAUUAUUUAACUCCUCUUUGUUUUUGUAUAUUUAUUUGUAUUUUUUUUGAUCCAUUUAUUUUGAUUAUAAGAUUAAAUUACC